AUUGAACGCUGGCGGCAGGCCUAACACAUGCAAGUCGAACGAGUAGCGGACGGGUGAGUAAUGUCUGGGAAACUGCCCGAUGGCGGGGGAUAACUACUGGAAACAGUAGCUAAUACCGCAUAACAUAGAAUGUGCCCAGAUGGGAUUAGAUAGUAGGUGGGGUAACGGCUCACCUAGGUGACGAUCCCUAGCUGGUCUGAGAGGAUGCCCAGCCAAAGUGGAACGGAGAAACGGUCCAGACUCCUACGGGAGGCAGCAGUGGGGAAUAUUGCACAAUGGGCGCAAGCCUGAUGCAGCCAUGCCGGGGGUAUGAAGAAGGCCUUCGGGUUGUAAAGUACUUUCAGCGAGGAGACGUUACUCGCAGAAGAAGCACCGGCUAACUCCGUGCCAGCAGCCGCGGUAUAC
rnacentral:rRNA from 1 species